GGACCGCUGAGGAGUCCCACAAUAGGACGAAAUGGCCAUCUAGUAC
rnacentral:hammerhead_ribozyme from 1 species